CUGCUUUCUACCCUCCUUCCCAAAUGCUGUGAGAAUGAGGAAUGACCCAGCAGGUGCCUGUGCAGCUCCAGUUCGUGGCCUCGCUGGUUCCUGGGUGUGUGGGUCUCCCUCUACGAAAGUAUCCCUUCGGGGUCUUUCAUUUGGGGGCUCGUCCGGGAUCGAGACCCGCCCAGGGACCACCGACCCACGUCUGGGAGGUUUCUGCUUCUGACAGACAUCUGAGUACCAGUUGCUGACUUCAGACUGUUCUAAGUAGACUGCGAACCCUAGACUUGCUAUGGAUGUGAACCAGUCUGCUGAUAUGGACACCCCCUAUCUCUGCAACAGUGUCUGCUAACCAGAAGCCCCUGAUGGAUUCCCC
rnacentral:lncRNA from 1 species